rnacentral:sRNA from 1 species
AUGGCUGAUUCACCACAGAAAGCAUUCAAAACCAUCACCCAAGUAUGGCUGAGAGAAUUGCAAAAAGGUCAGUAUACCUGUCUACAAAUCAUAUACACAGAACAGCACGUGUAAUGUGUCUAAAAUGUCAAAAUUGUAUAUCUCUGAUGAAGAGAAAACUUACAACAUUAAGUUGACAUUCUGCAAUGCUAGCUAGUAACUGCCAUUGUCUGUAAAGAUGCAAUUGCAAGCCACAAAAGAAGUUUUUGUCUUCAGAACAGGUUAGGACCAGCUACCUGAAUGAGUUAAACAUACAUGUACCAUAAUAUAACUGGUCGGGAAACAUAUCAAAUAGUAAAUAAGGAUAUGAAUAUUAUUGAUUCUAAUGCAACAACGUUUGUAACGUUCAUUUUGAUAACGUCACUUAUUUACAUGGCAUCAAUUAUGGAGCUUAAAAUACAAUAGAGUUAUCUCCUAAAUGUUAAGAGAUUUAAAUUUUAUGAAUUAUGUGCAUGAUGUGACGCAGGAUUGCAGAUAUUUUGUACAGUUGUAAGCAUGACACAUGAAAGUAAAAUUAUUUUGCCGUGAAAAUUGGAAAUGAAAUCUAGCGGGACACGGGAAAUCACAAAAAAUGAUAAUUGCUUACAACAGGCUAUUAUUUGAACUUGGAAGUAUUUUUGCUUGAUUUCUUGUUAUUGAAAUUUUCGAUAAAUUCCAUGUUUAUUCUGUACUGAAAUGUUCUGUGCUGCGCACAACACUUUCUAUUACAAAGAAAAUAGUAUAUUUUCAAUAGAAUGUACUGUGCCGCGCACAACACUAUCUAACCAAAAUAUAUUGUAUGGAAAGUGUUAUUAACCGCUCAAAAGAUUAUUAUACCAAAUAAACAUGGAAUUUAUUAAAAAUUUUAAACACAAGAAAUUAUGCAAAUUCCAUAAUUAAAAAUAAUUCCAAGUUCAAAUAAUAGCCUGUUUUAUGUACAUAGCGCAAGAGGGAUACAGGAAUCUGAUAAAACAAUAAGGGGGAUCUGGGAUUAGAACCCCCCAAUGAGAGUAAGCACAUGAUUACUUUUCAUAUAUGUAACUAUUCUUGCAUACUCUGACACCCAACGGUUGUUUUGCCAGACAAUGUGUGGCCAUGGGACAUUAGAGCUUGUCCCAUAAUGGCAUAUUAUAAAGUGGAUAUUUACCGGUCCAAAACCAAUGCCUUGCUUUGUUGCUCCUGGAGCCGACUGAGGGUGUUAAUUUUUCAUUUAUCUCUUCAUUUGUUAAGUUUCAUCUAUCUGCCCUCUUUACAGGGUUCUCACUAAGGCGAGUCCAUGAGUUCUGGACUCAUCAAAAUCUGUCUGGACUCACCAUUUUCAAAACUGGUGAGUCCACAGAUGCAUCAAGAUUGAAAUAUUUUGUAUAAACUGAACACAGUUAAACACAAAUAUCAUUUUACAGUAAAAGUUUAAAAGUGAUCUGAAUUUGAUUUGAUUUCAUUGCUAUGUUAGGAAAUGGAGCCUAAAAUAUUACUUUACAUUGCAAUACAAUAUUUUCUUCUUGCUGAUGGACUCAUCAUACCUAAAAAUGAUGAGUCCCUGGACUCGCCUUCAAAAAUCCUUAGCGAGAACCCUGCCUUUAUUUUCUUAUAUUUGGACAGUUUUCACAUUUGAAUAGCUUUACAUUUGUCAUUUCAGGCCAUUUAACAUGUUGUAAAGCUGAGAAAUGGGAAUGGGCUUUGCUCAUAAUUGUCUUAUAAGGCCACACAGUGACCUAUUGCUGUUAAUUUCUGUGCCAUUUGGUCUCUUGUGGAUAUUUUCUCAUUGACAUUCAUACCACAUCUUAUUUUUAUAUAUACAUACAAAUGUACAAUGUACAUGUAUAUAAAUAUAUGUUUCUAUAAUUCUUAUCUGAUUCAUCCUUUUUUUAACCAGUUUAAUGAUUAUAUCUUUUUACAGAUUUUGGUCUCAAUUUUUUUUCAAUCUACAAAUUUCCUAUUGUGACGUCUUAGAAGAGACAACAAUUCCUGUUGACAUCACAUAGAAAUAAAAAAAAAUUUGUAGAUCUUUGAAAUGCAGGAUUGAGUGUCUGCAUAUUGUCUAAAAAUAAUUAGAGAAACAAAUUCUUCUACAUGUACAUGAAUAUUGAUAUGAUCUACAUGUAUGAUAUCAAGUUAAACAUUGUUGAAGUGGUUUCUACAUGUAUCUUAUCUGAAAGCUAGUAAGACAAGUCAUAUUUGCUCUAAACAUGCUAAAGACUACUUGUAAUAACAAAAUGUUAUUGACCACAGACCUUUUUUUUUUAUUGUAUGCUGCAUGCAAAUGAACGAUUGAUGUACAUUGUAUGUAUUAACCUUGCAUGUAUAUAAACUAUUUAAAGAAUAGAUUAUUAUUUCCUUUAUUGUUUUCAGUUCGUCCGUCAAUGAGACUGAUAUAUAUGUACCUAGCUAACGAUGUUAUACAGAACAGUAAGAAGAAAGGACCUGAAUUUACCAGAGACUUUGCUACUGUAAUGACGGAUGCAUUUGCUUCGGCUACAAAGUAAAUAUAAACCUGAGAUAUUGCAAAAAGUUGUUAUACUAAUAUGUAUCUUUUAAUAUAUUUUAAGUACAUUCUAUAGAUAUAAUAAGAUGUGGCAAUGAGAUAACUCUCCAUCCAAGUCACAAUUUGUGAUUUCAAAUCAACCAUUAUAGGUCAAAAUGCAGUCUUCAACAUGGAGCCUUGGCUCACACCAAAAAGUACGCUAAAUGGGAAAACCAAGUCUGAAUGGCCUAUAUCUUUACUCGAUUGUACUGAUUUUUACUUGAACAGUCUGCAUUGGUCUGACUUUUACUUGACAUUACUUGACCCCAGCAUUUGCCCAGUCUGAACCAUACUAGACUGUACUGAAUCAUACAACAAACUACAAAAUAAUUGAGGGUACACUUUGAUUAUAUAAUUUGUGUGCAUGUGUUGAAAGAACACACAUUAUAUUAUUCAAAAUAAUUAUCCUGUAUAUAUGCAAUCGUUCUGAAAAAAAAAGAGAGUUAGUAAAUAAUUUUAUUGGGUUUAUAUUGUAGAGACGCUGAGGAAAAGGUGAAGAAAUCAGUGGAUAGAAUAUUAAAUAUAUGGCAGGAAAGAGGUGUUUACAGUAAAAACACAAUAGAUAAAAUAAAAAGUGGCACAGGUGAGUGUAAACAAAUGGGUCAUACUUAGAUGCAACAAACCCAGGCAUAGAAGUUUCCUACAUGUGUACCACCAUCUUUGACUUUGUCUGCCAUCUAAGAUAAAUAAAAUGUUUUCAACUAAUUUUCGGGGAUCACACAUGUAUAUGUCACAACAAAAUAUGUUUGCAACAAUAGGUCAAUUGGCACAGGUAUUUUUUGGUUUAUACUUGGAGACUUAAAGCAUAAAACAUUAUUAUUCUUUUCAUUCUUUAUUUAAGCAGAUUCAUCAUUUGAUUGAAUUGAAAUCAAAUUAGAGGUUCAAUUAGGAUAUAGAUGAUUGAAAGUUACAUUUUAUCCUCUAGGAAACCUUAUAAAAUGAUUAUGUUUUUUGUUUGGCACAAAACUUAUGUUUCAUUAUUUGUUUUAAAUAGAUAUUGUUUGUAGACGAAGAAAAUAUAUAUCACUCUCUUAAGAGUAUAAGCUUUAUUACAUAUUUAAUUUUCAGGAAACCAAAUUAUUCACAAAAGUGGUGAGUACGCUAUCAAUUUCACUCUUUGCUUGUCUGGAACUCUGUAUGUACAUUUUGUACCAUCAUCCAUAUUGUAUGUGUUUGAAGUCUUAAAAUAAUUGUUUCAGUGUUUUGUAUUCAAAGAGCACUCUACUAAAUACCUUGCAGUUAAUAUGGUAGCCAUUUAGGGAAAUAGGAACAUUGGAAAUUUCAAAAUUAUUCAGAUUAAAGAAUUAAUUUAAGGUAGAUAGAUGGUAUACCGCCAUCUUCGAUUGAACAAUCACAGUAAAAAAUCGGUCUAGUUAUUUGCCUAAAUUUGCAAAUUUAGAGACAAAUUUGCAAUUUAAAGGUUCGAUUUUUUUAUAAUAUAAAGAAAACUUGGUAAUAUAGUGUAUAAUAUAAAAUAUUUAAACAAACAUCAUUUUUUUGGCUUUUAGAAUCAUUUUUUUCAAAUGAGCCAUUUAAGGGAAGAUAACUAUUUUAGUCAAAAAUUUAUACUGGACUGAUAGGGAAAUUUUUUCUUUUUACUUGUAACAAGAAAACAAGUUCGGUGACACCAUUUUUUCUUUUUAUUUUCUUAAAAUGUAUCACAAAACCUAUCUUUUCACAAUUUAUUUCAAAAUUCUAUGUCAUAGAUUUUUCUAUGAACAUUCUAACCAAAUUUAGGCAAUUUUCAACGACUCAUAGCUUGAAAAAUAGCAUGGUGACCCAAACUUUUUUUUUCAUUUUUGAAAAAAGCAUAGUAAAAUCUUCAUUUUGGCUAAGUAUAAGAAAAUUCUGUCUCAAAAAUAUUUUACUUAUGAUCUACCUUAAGGGCAUACGAUACAGUUACAGGGAAUGUAAUGACGUUGCUAACGUAAAAUGUUAUUUUUGCGACGUCAAACUCUGACAUAUCGGGAAAAGAUGCAUUUUCGACUGAUUUUUAUCAUUCAAACUGAUUUAAUUUGAAAACGAGUGCAUGGACCCCUAUUUUUUAAAACAGCAAUUUGUUUCAUUUUGCAAGGAGAUUAUGUGACCCAAAUUUUAUAAAACUGUAAAUAGCGCAAUUUUUUUUAUUUUGAUAAGCAUGCAGCAAAAAAUGACGUUUUUUACUCUAUUCAUGAACAUUUGAUAAAUAGAGAGUUAUUUCGGAAUAAAAAGUGCAUAAUUUUUAAUGAUACUUAUAAAAUACAGAAAUUACCGAUUAUUUAACAAAAACCAUUUUGUGUUUAUCUUUUAAAACAAAAAAGUUAUGUCUUUCUUUCGAAAAAGAAAAUACAGCCACAAAUCUGAAUUUUGAGCAAAUAUACAAAAUUUCGAACUCAUUUUACUUAAAAAGUAGCACAUGAAGGUAUAUUUUUUAUUACAUAUUUGAUUUAAUGAGGUAAAAAAUAGCCUAUAUGCAAAUUUUCAUCAACUUGUAAAUACAGGUUCAAUACUGUAUCGUAUGCCCUUAAUGUCACUUCAAAACAUUUUUUUUUUGAGAUUGACUUUUUUGGGGAAAAUCUCAAUAAGAUCAAUUGUCUGCAAGAAUGUAAAUUAACUGUUGAGUGUUCUUUAAGGUAAGUAAUAAAUAGAAGUGGUAUUUGGUUGCCUUGGCAAACAGAUUUCUGGUGUUGGACUGUAUUUCUCAAAUUUGCAUACUAUUGCUAAUCAAACAUAAAAAAUCUCUUAUUUCUAAAGAAUAUUGCUUUGAAAAUGUUAUUAAUUAUUUAUAUUUAAUUUUAUGAUAAAUUUGAAUGUUUAUUUGUUUUAUUACCAUAGUCAGAUAAAAAGUUAAUAAAUAAAAAAAUACAUUGUCAUGAGAUUUUUAAAACCUGAAAAAAUCUUAAUUUGAGCCUUAAAUUUUGAGGACUGAAUUUGAGAAAUACAGAUACUGUGUGGUGUUUGCACUUACAUGCUUGCUUGCAAUUGAUGUAUGUUGUGGUGUGUCUUUCUAUUGUAGCCCUUCAAGACAUUACAGAGAGAAGGAAGAAAAAGAUUGAAGAAUAUAUACCGACCUAUAAAAAAGGUGAAAUUUGUGUAGUGUGUUGAGAGGUGCAAGGGGGAGGGAACCUGAUAUUACUUAUAAGUCAUUUUCAUCUUAAAUAACAUCAAAAUCAUUCAUUUUAAAUAUUAUAUGUUGCCAGGUCAGUUUAAGAUACUUUCAGAAGAUUUCUAGAACAAAUGUUUUAUUUUUACAGCCAUAUCAGAUAUAGCAGCUGAAAUAAACUUAAAAAGAGGAAGAGACAAGAAAAAAGUAGAGGAAUAUGUACCUGUCAAUAAGGUCAAAGGUUAGUAUAGAAAAGAGUACAGGAAUAUGUACCUGUCAAUAAGGUCAAAUGUUAGUAUAGAAAAAAGUACAGGAAUAUGUACGGUACCUGUCAAUAAGGUCAAAGGUUAGUGCUAUCAAAGGUCACUCUGUUGAUGAUUUUGUUUGAUUCAUGCUUUGUAAAACUCAUUAAACUUGAAACUUCUCAGAAUUUAGACAUUUAUUGUUGUAUUGCUAAAAAAAACUUGGUGUUUUUCCUUGGCAUAUUUAGAACAAUGUAAAGCUACUAUGAACACAACACUCAAGGGAAUUUAAUUAGACACAUGUUUGUUUGUAGGGUAUUGUCUUCAGGAUAAAAAGUAAUAAAGUAACAAAAUCAGUACAAAUCUGUUCAAUAAGAUGCACUUCAAAAUAGGCACCAGGGGAAGUAACUUACUUAACAUCAUUCAAUAUGAAUAAUUCUAGCAUUCUAUGGGAAAAUCACAGGUUUUUUGUACUAUCAUAAAAUUUAGAUUUUUCACUAUCUGUGCUUUUAUUAAAGAUCAGUUGGAAGCUACUUUCAUGGAUAUGAGCGAGCCAUAAAUUUAGAUUUUCAAAAGAAUUAUAACUUCUAAUUAAUAUGUAGAAAAAUUGGUGCCCACCAAAAUAAAUGAAUCUACAGUAUUAAUGCCAUUAAGUAAUCUAAGAACAUGAUACAUUGUCAUUAAUUUUUAUUAGAAAGGUAGAUAUGUAUAAUAAAGAUUAAGCUAUACUUUGGAUUUUUUUUAGGAUUUUGACAUUUUCCUGAAAUCAAAAGCAAAUGCUCGCAGUCUGAUUUUGAAAGUGGUUUAUGACAAAUUCGCAUUUGUUCUCAAUGUCCAUAGGUUAAAAAAAAAUUAAACAAACUAAAAUAAAUUCCAACUACACACCUAUAUUUCUCAAGCAGGAAACAGUAAACAUACAUUUUCUGUUUGUCCUUGUGUAGUUUAUCAUAUAUACUGGUGCCAUAUUUUGAGAAUGUCACAAGGAAUUUAGCCUUUUUAAGUGAAGUUAAAUUAUAUUUUAUAAGACCCACAGCCAGUUGAUGCAGCGCCUCCUAAUAAGAAAAAGAAGAAAGAAGAAAUGUUGUCACUGAGAGAAGAAAUAGAGCUUAUGUCAAAAGAUGAUACAAGUGGCCCACCAGAUGUAAGAUCUUACUUUACACACAUUUGGUACCUCCCUCUCAAUAUUUACAAGUAUUUUCAAUUCUUGAAUCAAAAGUUUGGUAUUCUCUUUGAAUGAUCAAGUCUAUACUUUUGACUGUUUGUAAACUUGAUGCUUCUAAAAUUUCUUUAAAAAAAUGAUAUUUAAAGGAAUCCAACUUCAAAGUUGCAUAUUCGUAUUUGAUGCCUAACAUUUUUUGAAUAGCUCUUGAUAAAAUUGUAAAUAAAAUGACUGGUUACAAAAAUCAUGUAAUGUUUCAGAUUUUUCUAAACAUAUCUUUAAGAAUAAGAUAAUUGUUGUAACCCCAAAACAGCCAAGUUUGAACCAUUGUGCAAAAUGAAACAUAAGGUAUAUAUAAAAAAGAAGAUGUAUUAUGAUUGCCAAUGAGACAACUCUCCACAAGAGACUAAAAUAACACAAAUUAACAACUAUAGGUCACCGUAUGGCCUUCAACAUUGAGCAAAGUUCAUACAGCAUAGUCAGCAAUAAAAGGCCCAGAAAUGAUGAUGUAAAACAAUUCAAACGAGAAAACUAAUGGCCUAUAUAUGUACUUAUAAAAUAACAACACUAUAGCAUUGAGAGUACAAAAAAUUACAGCAAAGAAUACAAAAAAAACCAUUGAAUUUGUCAAUUUUGUACUCUUGGUACAAUAAUCAUGAUAAUCUCUGUGAAUUAGUGUUUUAAAAAGGAUACUUGAUACACAUACAUUGUGUAGUUCACAUUUAUGUCAUAUAUAUUUGCUGAGCCAAAUUUUUACCAGUUUUCAUUGUUUUGUAUUUACAGGCAGAAGAAUUAGUAAAACGUUUAUCCGACCUUGAACAUUCAGCAUCUAGUGAUGCUGCUGUAAGAGAGAAGAUUGCUGCUCUUCCACCGGAAGUGUCUGAUGUUAACCACCUCGCCAAAAUUCAUGGUAAAAAUUCAUUCACUGUGGAUCCAUUUAUUUUUUGUUGGUACCAAUUUUCCUUGAUAUUUUAUUUCAUGGUUUUGCAAAAGUCUGCAUACAAGCCUUUACCUGUAUAAAAGUUGUUCUUCCUUGAACAUUUGGUUCACCAUUACGAAAGAAAUCCAGGAAAUCUAGUGUCACACGAAUAAUGAAUAUUAAAUGGACCCCAUUUUUUAAGGGCUUAUUUCUUAAAGUCUGAGCAAAAUUGAUGAAUUACCUAGCUACCUUCGAAAUUUUAAAAAGUGUUUCAGUGUUUUCCCCAAUAUUCUUGGAUAGCAUCAUAGAUAGUAUGACAACAAGUAAGGUAUAUAACAUAAUUUGCAACUUAUCAUGACUUAUUUCCUCUAGCCUGUCUCCUUAUGGACAACAAUUAUAUAGUUUCUUUAUUUAUAUAACUUUGAAUUAUUUGAUGAAUACAGUGUUCUUGUGAUCUUGCUGUAACUGGAUAAUAAAUAGGAAUGCAUAUUUUAAAGUGUAUGUAGAAAAGCACAGGGUCCUACCUUCAAAUUCACAGUUGACAUUUUCGUAACUAAGGAGCUUCAGAUAGCACCCAUGUUGACUUGCUGAAAUCAGUAAAAGUGCAAGGAAUGAAGUAGAAUAAAAAAUAAGACACCACUUACCUCAAAACUUUAUUUAAAUGCAAUAUUAUCCAAACUUGACAGGUUCACCUAACCGAAAAGUGUUUUUCAUUUUUCUGACAUAAUGUUUUGUAAUUACUUCCAUGUAAUACUGUGGAUUUAUUAUUAUUAUUCGUUUGAUACCAAUUUUCGUGGAUUUUGUGAUUGCAAAUAAACCAUAAAUAAAAAAUGUUCAACGAAGAAAUAGUUUUCUAUAGUCUUGUAUGCAGACCAUAUUAAAACAACGAAAUCAAAUAUCCACAAAAAUACAAAGUUUCUUCAAUCCACAAAAAUUGGUACCCACGAACUAAAUGAAUCUAGGAAAUUGCAUUAAUUAAAUUUCACUGGAUUUUGUUUUAUUUUGUACAUUUUCCCAAGUUCUAAUGCAUUAAUUAUAUUUUGUUAUGUUAUGUUAUUAAUAAUAAUUUAGAGCUAUUAAAAUUGCAUGUCAUAUAUGCAAUUAUUUAAUUUUGACUUUAGUUAGCUAGUUGAUAAUUAUCUCCUCCAAAAAUUUCAAAUUUGCUUGAUACUGAUGAUACCUGUGGAUAUUCCCACCCUGAAGAUCAUUACCAACCAAAUUUUUUUAUGAUAUUGGGGUGAACAAUCUUUUCUAUAUUGUACAGGUUUGAAAUCAAAAGAAAUAAUGAAGAUAUUGUCUCUCAUUUACAAUGCAUGCAGAGUUUUAUUUUUUUAAAGAAAACAAUCCAUUUUUAAUUUGGUAAGCAUUUUUUUACUCAUAAAUAUUUUUAUGAAUAACAAUAAGUUUUUUAGCACUAAAAUUAAAAACACUAGGCAAAGAUAAGGGGAGUAACUCUUUCUGAAUUUAACACGAUUUUGUUUGGCCUAUUUAAAAUAUUCAUUCCUUUGGAAGAUUGAUUGAUUGUUUGUUGCUUAACGUCCAGUGGCAAUCCUUUGGAAGAAAGACAGAAUCUGUUCAAUAGUACUAUGUAUUAUAUCUAGACUGUGACUGUCCAAAUUAAUUGUGGCAGAUGUAUCUAACAAACUGGAAGAAAAUCAACAGUCAAAAAACAAUAUGUUUAGUUGUAAAGAGAAAGAAGACUAAAUAAAAGAGACAGAUUUUCAUGUCUUACUUUAACAACAAGCUUCAAACAGAAUAAAAAUGUUCACAAUUGUCAAAUAUUAUUAAUUAAUGGGCCAGAAAUAUAGGAUGAUGCUCCAAAUUUAUAGAACUUCAGGUCUGUGAUGCUUAGGAGACCACUGUCAUUUCUUUUGGAUUUUUUAAAACUACUAGUAUGUAAUGAAACAAGCUAAUUAAUUCCCUAUGAAAUGAAUAAGAUGGGAUUUGUUGCAUUUUUGAGCUAGGAUGAUAAGUAUAUAAAAAUUGAUUGAUUAUAAUUUAUUCAUCUUUCAAUUAUUCUUGAGUAAAAAUGAAAACUACAAAUUGUCAAAUGUUUAAAAUACAAGAUGCCUUUCUUAAAUAAUAAAUUUUUAUUUCAGUAAGUAAUGUUCAACAUCAUAUUUAAUUCACUAGUCCCAACAUGCAACAUGCAUCGUUCUUUAUUUGUUUCCUUUAUCUCCAUAAUAUUUUUUCAAAUUUCUUAUCAUCUGAAACCACAGUACAAACUACAACCAACUCAGGAUUAAUAAGCCAGAAUAUAUAUAGUUGAAAUUUGUUAACUCUCCCUGGCAAUUUACCAAUUACGACCUAUUGACCUUUUAUUAUUAUUUUUGGGGUUUCCCUUAACAAGACAUGGAAAAUGUCAUAUACACAAAUUCUGGUAGGAAUCUUGUUUCAUUAGGGUAAUAUUCAAAUCAUCAAUGUCAAUGUCCUAUCAAAGGUUGGUGGUUCUGGGCACUCCGGCUUCUCCACCUAUAAAAACUGACUGCCAUGAAAUACUAUAGCCCGAAUGUGGCACUUAAAAGUGGCACUUAAAAGUGGCAUUACAAACCAACAAACCAUCAAUCAAUGUCACUUAAAUUAUAAUUCUACCUUCCCUUUUGUUUUCAACGAUGUAGUAGGAAACACAGCUAUUAUUUUAUUUGGCCUCAAUCAAAUUGUUUAAUUUUCUGAUGUUAACAUGAUGUGGUCAUUACAUGCUUUGGUCUGUUCAUACUGUUGUUCUGCCUUAUACAAAUUAUUUAUAACUGUCAUGAUUAACAAAGUUUGAUGUGUCUAUUUCAGAUAAAGAAUCUGGUGUGAUAUUGUCAAGAAAAGUAGAAGAUGCUUGUAUAUUGUUGUCUGAAUAUAACUUUCGAUUGAAUGCAGAGUUAGAAGAAAGAAAAAUGGUCGGGAAAAUGUUAAAAGAUUUCAUAGCUUGCCAAAAAGAACAAUUAAUGUCUGCAGAGAAAAAAAUAGAGGUAAAUGUUUUGGAUUUGUAAAUAAUUUUUUAUGAAAUUUUACUUGUAGGAGCACUAAAAUAUUUAUGAUUUGUUAAAAAUAUUGUUAUCUCCCCUUCCUCAGUUCCCUCAGCUGAACCAUAACUAAUACUAUAGUGAAAUAAAUUGUUAGUUUUCUUUAUUUUUGCAAAACAGAUUGAUUCCAUUGUCAGUAUACGUGGCAUAAACAUUAAGGUUAAGUCUGUAGUUCAAAUAUUUUUAGACAUCAAAAAUUUUGUCACACAUUCACAGAAUAUAAAAAAAAUAUUGAACAGAAGCUUCAUAAUAUCCAAGAGACAGCAUCUGGAGCACAAUCAAAAAAAAAAUUUGUUUGUUUGUGCUAAAGUAUUACUGUAAACUCAUUUACAGUAUUUUUGUCUUAUCUUUCAGGAAUACAAGAAACGACUAGAUAAAGUGACUGAAGUCCGAGGAGAAUUGGAAUCUCACAUAAAAAAUUUACCUGAUUUUGAUCUUUUACCUCGUUUAACUGGUGGUCUUGCACCAUUGCCUUCAGCUGGCGACCUCUUUAACAUGCAAGAUGGUAGACAUUGACACAGUAUUGGGUAUGGUUAUUUUUUAUGCUCCUGCUGUAGCAUAGAGGGCAUUAAGUUUUACCCUUGUCUGUUUUUUGUUUCCAUUCACCAACUUAAGUUUGCCUCAACCAAAUGCUAUAAAACUUAUACACAAUAUAUACUUAUUACCACAAAAAGGAGAUCAAGAACAAAUUUAGAUAACUUCACUUUUGCUGUUCAUCAGUUAUAUCCCUUUAUGACUUUAUUUAAAAUGCAAGCCGGGGCAUUAUCUGUGUGCCAUGGACACAUUCCCCAUUUUUUAAUUUUAUUUAGUAGCACGUAGAUUGAGUUUAUAUGAAAUUGAUCAUUCAAGUUGAAAUACCAGUGUAUGAUGUAUGACCAGCACUUGAAAUUUAUUAUAACAAAUAUAAUUUACAGUGAAAAUGGGUAUCCUAUAAAAGGCAACAAUAUCAAGAGCACUUCAAAACUCAUAAGUCAUAAGAAAAACUGACAAAACCAUGGUGAAAAAUUAAAAACUACAAAAAUACCAACAGUUAACAACACUCUGCAUAGACAACUAUAUAUUGAGAACAUUACUUCUAAAGAUGUGCUGAUAUAAACAAAAAAUAUGUAUCUUUGGGACACAAGAGGAAACAAAUAGACAAUGUGCCAUGCAUUAACGAGAAAUUAACAAAUAUAAUGUUAUUUGUCUUUUUGUAGGUUUGGAUAAAAAUGGCUCAGUAUAUAAUGAAGGCAUUCCUGUUAGAACAGACGAAGUGACUAGUCAGUAAAUGUGCAGAUAUUGUCUUAUUCCAUCAUCACCCUUCAUCUAUCACCACGAUGAGUGCUCUUAUUUAUAUGUUGGAAAUGAAUGGUCAUCUUUGUGCUGGAACUAGUAGUGCUGUGUUAUACUUAAAAAUGUUGUUACCACAAAUUAUUUCUGUAAUUACUUCAGAUUGUAUAAAUCUUACUGGCUUACUUGGGUUAUGAUGACAUGUCAGUAUUUGUAAUUAUUUGAAGUCAUCUGUCAACCAUUAUUUAAAAAAAAUGCUUUGAAAGUACUGGACCAUUUUGGACUUUAUUGUAUGAUCCUUAUAGCAUUUUUAUGUUGUGACUGGAGAGGGCAUUAAAUGUUAUCCUUUCCAUCCAUACAAAAGUACUUCACAAAAAUUUUGGUGGUGUCACUAUUACUGUUAAAGAGGUAUGCCCCUUUAUGUAGGGAAAAUUGCUGAAAAAUUUCAUUUCCAUUCUCUUACUUUAGUUUGACUUAACCAAAUACUAUGAAUCCAAUAAACAAUGCUUACUAUGAAGAAAUAUAGAUUAAGUUCAAAUUUGGGUGGCUUUACUUUUAUUAUUCUCUAUUUAUUGAUUUAAAAAAACCUUCAAAAAGACUGCUUGUCAGUUGAGUGCUUAAUGUGUUAACAUGAACACACAAUUUUCCCUCAAAUGCUAUAAAUGUUAUGUUAUGAAGAAUUAUUUUUUUAACUAAUUUAGUUUCAUUUUGGGCAUUUUAAUCUGAGUCUGACAGUUACCAAAUGUUUGUCUCUUCAUUUGGUCACCCAAUCCCAAAGUUCAUUAAAUUGAAAGAAAGAUGGAUGUUUUUUACUCGGAUGAUAGUGGACAUUUUCACUAAAACUAUAUUAUAUUAAGAUUACCCUAUAGGCAUUGGCUGCACUGCAUAAUAACUGCCUCCAGCCCUGGUCAAUAGUAUGUAUGGAUAAAAGAUGGGAUUACAAGCUACUUAAGUUUCUAAUUUGGAUGUUUUUGUCAAUUUUAGAAGAAAAACAAAUCAAACUUUCUUAAAAUUGCAUAUAGCACAAGUACACAAUAUAUUCAGUUGUAGAAUAGUCAACUUUGGGAUUUAUCUGGUUUGUUGUGGAUUUUUCCAUUAUAAAAAGUACUUUAAUUAAAGGGCAAAAUAUUAAGGGUCUUUUUUUUCCCAGAGUUAGAUUUUUAUUAAAGUUUAACUAACACAGAGAUUUUCAAAUAUAAUUUUAGAGUAUUUUGAUUAUAAUGAAGACACAUUGACAGCACUUAUAUUCUUGCACAUUUAGAUUUAGAAUAUAACAAAACACCUAGAAAAUGUGGUUGUAUUUGUUUAUAUAUAAUUCAUUAUACAACAAAGUGUAAAUUCUUAGAUUACAUUGAUACUGGUGAAAUGUUUUAAUAACUGUGGAUUCAUUUAGUUUCAUGAGUACCAAUUUAAGAGGAUUGAGGAAAAUUGUAUUUCCAUGAAUAUUUGAUUUUGUAGUUUUGCCGAAGUCAGCAUAUAAGACAAAAGAAAUUUGUACUUGGUUGAACAAUUAAAAUUCUGCUCUACCAAUAUCAAGUUGAUCCUUGAAUUGAUACCGCAUAAAUAAUAAUGAAUCCACAGUUAACCAUAAUGCCUUGUAGUAUGAAAGUUGAAGACAGAAUGGCAGUAUAUUUUUAUGAGAGAGAAGAAUGUUUGUUUUUUUAUUUUGUUAGUUUUACAAGAAAACAUGUAUUUGUUAUUACAUGAAUGAGGUGUAGAGAUUUCUAUGCAUCCUUUAUUACAUGAAUGAGGUGUAGAGAUUUCUAUGCAUCCUUUAUUAUCAAUGAGGUGUAGAGAUUUCUAUGCAUCCUUUUAUAUUUUGUUGUUUGUAUUGUUCUAUCCUUAGUUUGAAAAAAUUGCAUAUUUUUCAUAAAUCAUUUCAUUCAUGAUCGACAUAUAUUUGUAAAAUAGUCAAUCUAUGUAACAAAAGAUAAACUUGUUUACCUAAACAAUUUAGUAUGUUAUACUAUUAUUGAACACAUUUGCAAAAAAUUGUUUCAUUAAAUAUGAAAUUUGGAUUUUUAUAUAACUCAUUCAUGGUUGUUAAUAAUUCGUCCUUGUUAAAAUCAAGUUCUGAACGCAAGGAUUGUUGUCUACAAGAGAUAUCAUUGAUAUUGUCAAACAAUGGAGAAGAAAUAAUGUCAUAAAUAGAAGAAAAAAAAUGUACAUAUGACAGCGGAGGAUCCAGAAGUUUUCAUAAAGGGGGGCACUGACUGAUCUAAGGGAGGCCAGCUCCAGUUAUGUUUCUGUGAUUCCCUAUAUAACUAACCAAGUUUUCCCCACAAAAGGGGGAGGCCCAUCCCCCCUGGAUCCUCCUAUGAAUGAUUUGAAGCCUUAAGUUUGUUUGGUUAUGCAUAAGGAAACUUCUAAAAGAGGGACAAAAGAUACCAGAUUGUAAUUGUGAGUACCUAUAUAUAGAAUUUUCAACCUCAGAAUGUUACCAUGAAACUUUUGUGUAUUAAUAUGUUUUACCAUUUAUACUGAUUAUCAGUAUUUUUCAGUUUGUUAAGAAGAAAAAAAAAGAUUUUUGCGUCAUUAAGUCAUGUUGUUAAUUCUUUUACUUAUAUUUUUAUUGCUUUGGCUCAUUGCAAAAAAAGUGUAUUCUGUAACAUUUUUAUUUUAGCAUUAAAAUAACUAAUAAGAAUCAAUUGAUUAUUUAUUUUCUUAUUAAACUUAUGUUUUGCAGCAUGCUAAUUAUGUUGUGUGUACUUGCAACUGUGCUAAAUUUUUCAUUUUAAAAAGGUCUGUUCAUUAGCAGAAAAUAACAUUUUUACAGUUAAACUAUACAGAAAUAAAAAGACAUUAAAUUCAGGAAAAUUGAUGAACUCAUAACAAAUUAAAAAUUAAAAUAAUCCCAGAAAAUAUGAGGUAUGGAGUACUCAUGGCUAGUAUAUGUCACACAAUCCAAUGACUAUUUAUUCUGAUUUAAGGUGGUAGUUUGAGAUGUACCGGUACUGAUGAUCAUUUUAUUUUCCUUGGUGGAUAUUUGAUUUCAUGGUUUUGCCAAAGUCUGCAUAGAAGCCUAUAGAUAAUUUGUAUUUCUAUAGACAUUUAAAUUUGUGGUUCACAUGUACUCAAGGAAAUCAUUAUUGGUAUCUCAUAAAUUCUAAUGGAUCCACAGUAUGUCAUUCAUUAACAUUAGCAAAGGUAUGACAGUUUUAAUAACUUGAACAGCAUCUAGUAUAUUUUACUAGACAUUACUACUUGUAAGAUUGAACACAUGUCAAUUAUCAUCAUUUGAUGGACAGAUUCUAGCUUGAUCAGAAAUCAGGAGAUUGAUUGGCUACCAGAAUAUGCAUGUGAUCAGUAAAUUUAUAUUUCUUAUUGUGAAAUGUUUGCUCAGUUUGGAUUUGCAUGGCAUAUGUUGCCUGUAAAGCAAGAGAUCAUUAUCCUACAACCCACCAAGACUCACUUUGUUUUGAAAUCAUGUGAUUCCCUGGGACUUAUGGUUCUUUUUAUUUUCAUUUGUAUACCAUUAUUCUAAAUGGAUUUACAAGAGUUAAACAUUGUUUUUACUUAUUUCCCUUUAAAAUAUUUGUUGCAGAUUUCUGAAAUCAGAAAGAAAAAAAAAUCUCUUAUGCAGCAGUUUGUAUGUUUCACCCAAAUAUUUUGAAAAAAAACUUGAUAUUUACAUGCAAGAUUCACUUUAAAAGUAGAAUUGUCUUUUGAAAGACAAUUGGUUAAGGGAGAUAAUUGAUUGGUUACGAGCUGAAAUGUCUUUCUAAAAUCUCCAAAGAUUAAUUGUUAAUAAGUUAAUUGAUUCUAAGAUUGACUUGAUGUUGGUUGUUAUAGAGGUCACACCUGUGUAUUGUAUGAUGUUAUUACAAUAUUUUAGAUAAUAAAAUCAUUUUUAUGUGUUGAGCUUGUAAUUUCAAAAUACCUGCCUAUCAAUGAAAAAUGACUAAAAAAAAUUGCAUGAAGCUUCAUCAUAGACUUUUAUGAUAUGAAAAAUUAACACAGCAAAAAAUGCAAAAGCUGGGUCCUAUUCAGAAAAAAACAAGAAACCUGUCUUGAAGAUGUAUCACACAACUUCUUUGUUGUCAUGGAAAUAUUUUACAACAAAGAAUAACAAACAAUUUAGAUGACUACAUGGAAUUGCACAAAAUGAUAAAAGGAUUCUUGUAUAUUAUAUGCAAUAUUCCAUUAUAGUGGUAAUAGCUCAGCAGUCAUCUAAUCCAAAAUCAUUAUCAGAAUUGAUAACAACAGCCAAUACCAUGGUUUCAAUUAUUAGAAGACUAUCCACAAACCAUUGCAUAGAAAAUUAACGAUUGAGUAACAGGAACUAUAUAACCUUACCCUUCAAGAGCACUUGAUUUCACCAAGUUUUUUGGUGGGGUUCAUUUUGCUCAUAGAUAUAAGAAGAUGUGGUAAUUAGUGCAAAUGAGACAACACUCCAAUCCAAGUCACAAUUGUAAAAGUUUUUAACACGGAGCCUUUAUUUUUCUGUUUGAUUUUCGAAACAUGUUUUUCCUUUGGUUGUUUGAACUUCAGAGUGUUAAUAUCCUUUUGCUAUCUUCCACCUCUCUUUUAUCGAAAACUUGGUGUGAACUUGAUUUCUCAGAAAGAGUACCAUUAAAUUUGUUAAAUAAGCUGUUCCUGGUCCACCAUCAUGUUAGGUAGCCUAGAAAAGUUAAAAAAAGAGUAAGUGAUUAAGAUGAAACAGUCAAUACAAGUUCCUUGAUGCCAUGUCUAAUGUUAACAAUUUCAACAGUUUGGCAAAAGGGCCCUAACAUUUAAGUUAUCUCAAAAUGACCGAAAUUAUGUGAAAACUCUUCCAGAGCCUUGCCCUCGGAGUGCUAUGAUGAACAACAACAAUACUUUCAAGAGGUUACACUUUUAGUUUUUGUCUUGUCUGUGAUCCGAAUGUCGCAGGAAAAAUGGGACACCAAUAUAUCGUCGACUUGGGUGAAGAAUAAGUCACCAUAAAGCACAAAGACUAGUCGUGGCAAUACGUGUGGGCCAUUUCUGCAUUACCUGAGUCGUCCAAUUUUAAUAUACUUUAUUAUAUUAAUCUGCAAGUAUACAAAUUGUAAACUAAGUUUACAAUUGUGUUCCAAUAAAUAUGAACAAUAUAUUUGACUGAAAUAUUUCCAUGCAACCGAGCUUUAUUGUGACCUUAACUUACAUACCAAAAUGCGGCUUUCAAGCCAUACUGAAUUCUAUAUAUUUGAAAUACUAAAGUAACUUUACUUUAACUGAAACAUUUUAAACAUGGCUAAAAGAAUAGAUAAAGGUACAAGUACCUGCCGCGGUGACUUUAUUCUUCCACCCUCCUGAGUGUAAUAUUGACCAGUGACUAACUCAAAUAGUGAAGUAAUAUUAGUAUAUAUGGACCAUAAUUUGGUAUUCGGCCUUUGGUUUCUUUUUGUAUCCUUUUUUAUAAGUUCUAAAACUUUAACUUUUAUUCUGUGGGUUGUGUUGGUGUUAGAAUAGUAUUAAUGGAACAAUUGAGUUUUUCAAGAAAAAAUUAAUACAUUUUGAUUCACCGUUUACGUGACAGGAAACCAAACAGGAAACCAAUCUUUAUUUUCUUUAUUUUGCACAAUAUAUUUCAAAAGACAUAAAUGAACACCUUUACUAGUGUUACUUGCUUCAUGUUAAUAUUUAAAAUCUAUUUUCAAUGUUAAAUUAAAGUUUUUUUUAAAUGCGACAGGAAACCAUAAGAAACCGAAAGCAUUUUUUUAGUUUUAUUUUAUUGCAAAAUCUGCUUAAAAUAAUCUGAACAGUAUACUUUUUCUUAAAAUCCAUCUUAAAUGUAACAGUAUUAUAAAACUCCUAAAUAUGUGCUUGUUUUGAAAAUAAUUAGUACAAUUUAUUCAGAAAUUUCCAUAUUUUCUUCAUUGAUACAGGAUACCAUAAUCGUUGUAUCUUGAUGUUUUAGCCAAAAAAAUGUAUUUAUAUUUGGUUUUGAAAUUCCAGUUAUAUACAAUUUAUUCCAAAUCAUUGGCAAUGUAAAAUUCUUUAAAUCCAGUAAAGAAAAAAACUUUUAACUUGGAAUUAAAAUCUUUAAAAUAGGCACCAUGUGAUAUUUGUGACCUGUACACCAUCUACAUGGUUUCCACAUUUUAACCUACUUUAGUGGGCUAAAAUCAAUAAAGUACUUCCUUUCAAGUCAUGCAUGGUAAAAGUUUACUUCUCCUUUGACAAGUUUAUUGCGUUUUUGAAAAGUGUUUGCAGAACAUGAAUAAAAAAAAAAAAAUUAUAAAUUGUGACAAAGAUACCAACUUAUAUAAUUUUUUUUAUCUGUAUGGGUUUAUUGCAAUAAAUGUGGUAUUUGAUAGAAUCUGGUAUUGUAACCAAUGUUCAAUUUAUAUCAUUACACAUAUCCGAUAUCAUAUAGUAAUCUGAGAAUAAAACUUCUAAGGGGCUCCAAUCCACAUAUUUAUCCGUGUUUUAGUAAAUGCCAAAAUUAUAGUAAAACGUAUCCGAGAGAGAGAUCGGACAAGCGCCUAUAAAAAGGUCAAGGUAGUUAAAAGGGGCGGACAAUGCCAUUGAUGCUGAACUGUGUUUCAUUUUACAAAACAGAUUUAUUAUAUAUUCAAAUCAAGUGGACUAUUUCAUAUAUGCUUCAAGCAAAUUAAAGAAACAGUAGGUCCGUGAAUCUGAAGACUGGUAAAGAUUCGACAAGUAAGUUAUCUUAUUAAAUAUCUUUAACGGCAAAUUACGCGUUUGGACCAUUAAUGGCAUUAUCUCCAAGAUCGACCGACUUGAAUGUAUAUGUUUUCAUUGCAUUGAAACUAAAUCAAUCUUUGUCCAUAGUGCAUGGAUGAUGUGUAAAAACUUAAUCUUAUUUUUUUUAUAAAAAUGUAAUUUUUUAAAUGAGUUACAAUGUAUCUUAUUUAUUUAUACUAUAGUUUUACCAAUAAUAUUUUUCUUUGAAUUUGCAUAUUUCUUUGAUAUUAUAGUUUUCAUUUUUUUAAAACAUGCAUGACAUUAUUGACAGGAUAACAUUAAUACACUGCAGUGUAUUUAGGAGCCAGCUGAGGACCACCUAUGGGUUCCGGAUUUUCAAACUGUGUUGAAGAGUCAUUGGUGGCCUUCAGCUGUUUCUUCUCUUUGGUCAGUUUUUUUCUCUCUGACAUUCCGUAUUUCCAUUCUCAAUUUUUUACAUAUUUACACUUACAUGCAAAUUUUUAUGCCAUCAUGGCCAUUAUUCAUGUUGCUAAAAACCACACAAGAUCUUACAAAAUGCUGCGUUCACAAAGUAAAAAUUUGACGUCCAAAUUCAAAAGCUAUUGUGGCAUGACAUCAAAUUGAAAAAUGUCUAAUAUGCCUGCAGAACAUAUCAGGAAUAAAAUUCUCAAUAUUCUGUAUAAUUCAUUGAUAAAUUGAACCGGAUGGACACAUACAAAGUGACUUUGCUGCAUUGACAUUGAGGACAACAUCAUGUCAUUGCAUAAUAAUUUUCAAGUACCCUAUCCUGGAUAAAAAAAAAUACUGCAGGAUCAAAGGGAAAAUGUACAAAUUUUCAAAAAGUGUUAUAUUUUAAUAUUUAUGAAGUAAUACAUUUGUUAGCUUUUAUUUCCCCACUUAAAAUAAUUGGCACUUGAAGCAAUCGUAUAUAUAUAAUGUAUAUAAUUAUUUGUAUGAAAGUAUCUUAUUUUAAUCCUCUUGUUAUAAUAAUUAUAAGAUGUUCAAAGUCCAAUACUUGACAAAACCUGAGAGUCAAACAGAAACUUUGCCAAUCGUAAUUGUAAUACAAAUUUUAAUCAAUUUAAGUAAGAUCCUAAUUAGGUUGACAGGGGUAUAAAAUAUGAAAUUCACCCAUCUGAUUAUUCUGUAUUCAAGUGGUAUUAAAACCUUUGGGAAAAAGAGAAAAUAAUUUGGCAACAUGCAAUUUAUAAAUUUAUAUGCAUCCACAACCUUGACCUAAUAUUUUACUGUUUGGCAGUCAUUGUUGCUCUGUAUUUACAAUCAAAAAAUUAAAUCACUAAAUGAAACAAAAAUAUUUAAUUUAUUUUCUAAAUGUGUGUCAAAUGUCACACAAUGACAUUGCUUUCACCAUAUUAAUGUCUUAUGACAUGACCAGAUAAUGAUAAUUUGUUUCAAAUGAUAAAUUAUUCAAACUUCAAAGAUUAAGAAGUAUUUCAAUAGAAUUUUGAGAAGGAAAAAACCUGCUAUUUCUCAGUAAAUUUAUUUAGACAAUCUUAGGAGAAUCCAACAGGAAAUGAGUUUAAAAUAUACUUCUGAUAGAUUGUACAUUUAUAUUUAUGUACCUGUAUACAUGGUAUAGUGUAAAGGGAAGUUUCAUAACAAGAAUUUCAUGAUAGCAAGGUAUAUAUAUUAUAAAAGAUUCUUAGAAAAUCUUUUGUUUUGGUAAAGUUGUAUUUUAACUGAUUCUUAGAGGGUGCAGGGAGAUUUGUAACUGUUCGAUACGCUCUAUUAUAAAAGGCCACAUUAAUUUUGGUUAUUUGUAUUAAGGGGUAAUGUCUUCUAUAUAUAUUUAAAUUUCUGUAAAAUAAUGAUGUAUACCCAACUUCUCUUUUAUUUUAUGUGUUUGCUUAUCAUGUUUAGUCACUUUUGUCAAACAAGCCAUUGUUUAUUGUGGGUUUGCAGGAGGAUUACUGUACAUGUACAUGUAUUGUGUAUAUAGCAUUAACAUGAUCCAGUUUAAUGAAUUAGAUGUGCAUUUUGACAAUUAAUGUCACUUCAGUGAUGGCCGAGGCCAAACUUUUCCUUUAGAUAUUUAUAGAAAGUGUUAAAAUAUCAGAUACAGAUCUUUUGAGUUUUCUGAUGAAUGAAAAUGUAUACAUAAUAUAAACAAUUAAUUAAUAUUGUUGAUAAGAUUACUUUCAAAUGAUCAGGAAAUUAUAAUUUGAACACAAAAGAACAUCAGGAAGAAAAGAAAAAAGUUAAAGAAACAGAGAGACAUGUGAUUGUGAUGUAAUAAUUUAAGGAAAUAAUAUUUCAGGUAUUUGUACAAACUUUGACUUUAUAAAAUGAGUUUACAAAGUAUAUGUACAUGUAUCAAUGUUCCCAAUUAGAUUGUUUUUAGAAAUGUUAAUGCCAGUACAUAGCCUCUGGUUCUAAAUGUAAAUCAUGGUAUAUGACCAUGUUCAUCGAAACAUGUUCACAUAUGUUGUGCACGUCUACAGGAUUUCAUUUUCACACAAGGAUCACGAAAAAUUAUAUGCAUCAACGUUCAUUAAAUAACAUUUAGUGUGAACAUUUGAUUAGAUUUUGAUGUAAAUUGAAUGUGUUAUUUACGAGUUGUUCAAGUUAUAUCAUUCAAAUUAUAAGGUCAUUGACUUGCGAUUACUUAUGCAUAUGAUUCAACAGUUGUCAUUCCGUCAGAGGUAAAUAUUAGUUGUUGAUAGCUAUAGAUCCAUUGAUGUCUGUUAUCAAUUUCUCAAAUUUUUCUGUGGUAAGUGUUUUAAAAUAUUCCUUUUAUUAUAAUAAGAUUUUUGGAAUUUUAUAAAUCUUUAUAAACUUUUUACUUUCAAAUUUUAGUAAUUAGUGAUUGAAGCUUUUUAUUAGGAAUUUUAACAUUUUUUUUAAACAUGUUAAGUAAGAAGGAAAAUUUGACAUGUCAGGUAUGGCUAACUAUUAAUUGGUAUUUUUGUUGUUUGUUUGCUGUCUUAUACUCAUUGUACUCUUUUGUUCAUAUGACUUUGUCAUUUCCAUUGGUAUCUGUAUCAAGGUACUAUAAAUUUCAAUCAUUUAUGGUUUUUUGAUCCAAUCAUAAAAUAAAAAACAAUCUUAAGGUUCGUUGCACUGAAUACACUUAAUUGUAUACAAGAACUUUUCUGUGUUUUUUUUAGGUUUUUUACUAGACCAAUUUAAAAGGGAAAAAUAGGAUCAAGAUUUUUUUUAUCUCAAUGGUUUUGGAUAUUGUGAUUUGAUGUAGUUUUCCUGCGUUAUUUCUCCUGGAUUUGUAGCAAUUUAUUUCAGCAGAUUUGUAUUUCAUGUCUAUGUCCAUAAGUCCCAUUAUUGGUUUCAGUUCUCUAACUUUAGUUCGCCUCUACCUUAUGAAACAUAUAUAUAUAUAUACAAUGCUAAUAACAAACAAAACACACAUCAACUUCUAAUUUUGGUGGCUUCACUGUUAUAUUUCUAGAGUUAUGCCCAUUACAAAUGGAAAAAUUGCUGAAUUUUCUGUAACUAUUCUCUAACUUAAGUUUGCCUUUACCGCAAAAUUCAGGUCAGGUACAAAUUAAGGUAGCAUCACUUUUACUGUUCUUGAGUUAUGUCUCAUUAUAAAAUUAUAUGCAAGCAGGGACAUUAUCUGUGUCCAUCCCAUGGACACAUUCCUAAUUCAUUUUUGGUUGUCCUUUGAAAUGUUGUUCUUUGUGAACUGUGUAUAUUGUUCUUGAAAUUGGAAAAGUACAUGUCGAUGUUUAUGCAAGACCAUGUGUUACACAGUGUCAGGAAAAGUACAAAAUAGAAGUCAAAGAUCUUUGAAUGUUUCACACUCAUGAUAAUGCAUCUGACAGUUGCUUCCCCUUUGAGGAGAUACUCUCAACAUGAUAUGGAUGUAUAUGUCAGUCUACUAAAGAGAAGGUUAAUGCUUAUUGAUUUUGAUAAUCAGAAUUGUCACACAUUUGACAAACUAUAAGUCAACAUAUGGGAGUUUACAGAUCAUUAUACCUGUAACUGAUAGGUAAUUAAUGUUAAUGGAAACUGUUAAGACAGAGAACUUUAUGUACAGAAAAGCUCUUAAGUAAUAUGUACCUUUAUGGCACCAUUUACUUAUUACUUGUAGAUAUUUUUCUAUUUCCCUGCAUUGUUUGAAAUGAAUGUUUCUAGUAACCUGAAAGAAACCUUUGACACUAAAGUAUCACUUUUGCUUAUAUGAGGUAGCUAUAGGUGCAAUUACAAAAAUUGAAAAGCGUUUCAAAAUUUGAUCCUGAAACUGUUGAAAUAAUCUCCUUUCUACAUGUUCUAUAAGUGGUCAGGUGGUACUGUAUUAUUAUAUCUAUAUAUAGCUAAAAAAUGGCUGUUAAAGUUCUCAUUCAAUUAAUCAUUGAAAUUGUACUGCAUAUGUGAAAAAGUAUACAGAUUUAUAUAUUUUUGUUUUCCUUCGGAUGGUGUUUUUACAGUAUUUCAAGGAAUUUUGGUCUUUCGUGUCUCUCAAAAACUUUAAAUCCUAAAAUAAAAAAUUGAAAAAUAUAUAUACAUGUAUAUAUAUAUAUAUAUAUAUAUUACUAAAUAAAAUUUGCUGUAUAAACAUUAAAUUAUGAAAUAUUUCAAAUUGUGAGAUAGUGUAUAAAGACCUCUUGUUUACAUGAUUGGUAUGAGAGACAUCUGUUACACCUGUGUUACAGUUUGACUGAUGAGGCGUGAAAAGUCACAAACAUAAAUGUCAAACCAUGAAUCAUCCAAGGAUAUUCUUAGUGGCCUUGUCCUUGACAUUUUAGUUGGAUUGAAUUUGAUUGAUGACUGAUUUGGGGGGAAAGGGGAAGAAAAUAAUAAAAAAAAUGUAAUAAAACAUGUCUCAAAUCUACCUGUGUAGAUAAUUAGGAUAACUAUUUCUACCCUUGUCCUAGACUUGCUACAUGUUCCUUCCUAAUUAUGUUUUUUUUCUUCUUCAGUUUUGCCCCUUUAACAAUUUUACUGCUAUAACUAGGAGAAUACCAUUAUGCUGACAUCUGCAGGAGGAAGGGCAAUCAGUAGACUGGCACUUAUCAGUAAACGUAUAAAUUAGAAAGAAAGAAAUAAAAGAAAGGGAAUUGUAGCAAGUCUACCCUUGUCCGUCUUUUUGUCCAUACAUUCAUAUGUCCCAAAGUUGGUUUUCAUUCUCUAACUUUAGUUUGCCUUAACCAAAUGUUAUGAGGCUUACACACAGUGCUAAUUUCCACAAAAUAAAAAUCAAGUUUUAAAUUGGGUGGCAUCACUUUAACUGAUCUAAAGUUAUGUCCCUUUACAAAUGGAAAAAUCACUGAACUUUUUGUUUUCUUUCUCUGAAAUAAGUGCCUCAACCAAAUGUUAUGAGGCUUACACACAAUGCUUAUUACCACACAAUACAGAUCAAGUUUUAAAUUGGGUGGCGCCACUUGUACUGUCCUUGAGUUAUGCCCCUUUUUUUAUAACAAAAAUAGCUUAAUUUAUAAUUUCAGUUCUCUAACUUUAGUUUGCCUCGACCAAAUGUUAUGAGACUUAUACACAAUACUUAUUAUCACAAUACUCAAAUCAAGUACAAAUUUAGGUAGCGUCACUUUUACUGUUUUUCACUUAUGUCACUUUAUAACUAUAUAUGAUAUUCAAGUGGGGGCAUCAUUUGUGUCCCAUGGACGCAUUCCCCAUUUAUUUUUUGGUUUUCAUAAGUUCAAUUUAUGAAAUUGUUAACUGAAUAAAUGCUUAAAAAAUAUGUAUAAAAGUUGCAUUUCACAAAGUUUUCAGUCAAUUGUGAGACUUUAUAAAAAAAGAAAUGAGGAAAACAUUUUUAACCAAAAUAUAAAUUAAAUAAAUCUAUAGGAAAUAAAGCUAUGUUUUAUCUUUUAUAUUAAAAUAAUUCAUUAUGGUUCAGGAUGUCCUUUGAUUUAAAAAUUGACAAAAAACUAAAUAUUGCAACAUUUUAUCAAUUUUUUUUAUCAAUGAAUCAUUGAUGUAUUGCACUGAAAAACUUAUUUAUUUUUUGGAUAAUAUGAAAAUUCAUUGAAAUACAAUGUAUCCCUAAAAAACAACUGCAUUUUACAAAAAAAUCUGAGGAAAAAAAAAGUCUCUUUUUUUUGUCACUAAAGCUUCAUUGAUAUUUUGAUUUUUAUCCUGUACAAAUAAGAGAAUAAGGUGAAGUUUGCCAUACUUCUUAAAAAAUGAAAUUACAUUUUCAAUCUGUUUAAAAGAAAGUUGCUUCUCUGAUUGAUAUUUGCUUAAGGUGAAACGAUAGUUGAACCUGUGAACUUAUGAUCCACUAUGGCACAAUUUAUAUGCAUAUAUAUAUAAAAAUGGUAGAUUUUAUCAUGACUAAUAAAUAAGUUUUUGAAUGCUCAAUUAUUCGAAACAAACAAAUGGAUCAGACACAAGUUUUUCAGCUUAGUAACAUCCUCCCCAAUUUUUGAUAGAUGUGGUUUUAAUUUAUAGUGCCUGCUUUGGCAAAGUUAGCAAAAUUUAUUUGAUACUUUUAUUUUAUGGGUGUAUAAAGAAUUUUGUAAAGUAAAAUAUAAAAUGAGUGACUCAUUGAAAUCUCCAUUGUUGUGAGUAGGUGUAGGAGGGACUCUUGAUAAAGUUACUAUUGUGAUCAAUAAUGAUAUGUUUAGGACACCUACAACCACCUGAAAUACACCCAGUCUGCAUCAAGUUUUAAAUUUCACUAACUUUAUCUAGUGAAUAUAAUUUUACGUGUAUAUGUGAAUGUCCAGUGGAGUAUAUUUGAAUCAGACAAAAGUCUUGACUUCUCAUAAAAACUGAUUCUAGAAAUAUAGCUUUUCUGAAAAAUAUAUUUCUGUCAUUCCAAAAUUAAAGCAUUUUUGCUCCAAAAAACAUUCUUAAUUGUUCUUUCAUUAAAAGCCUAAACUUUUCUAUUACAAGACUACAAGUUGCCAUGGACUGACAGAAAAACAUAGUAAAAGACUGAAACAAGUUGAAUAGUAUUUGUAAUGAUUUGUGAGAUUUUGCUAUCUAAUUGGACAAUAUUUUUACCAAUACAUAUUUAUUAAUAACACUUCAAUAAAAUAAAUUUAUCUUUAUAUUAAUUCAAGGGUUUGUUAAUGUGUGUCACAUAUUAAGACAUUUGUUUUUAAAACACUUGAUAUAUCUCUAAUUUUGUAAUUCACACAUGUGACUAAAAAGGACAUGAAAGUCAUCAUCUUUUUUCUAAUGAAAAUUGUUGGAAAAGAAUUUUUCCAAUAAAGACCAGUUAUAUUGACGAUAUUUAAAAAAAAAAAAUAUUUAGACAAACAGUUUCUAUGUUUAGGCAGAAUUAAAUUAUUUUAAUCAUGGCUACAUUAUAUAAACCCUUAUGUAGGCGUAGAAGUUUAUUCCAGAAAAGUACUUGCAUUUGUUUCACUCUAACAUAAACUUUCAAGAAUCAAUGUCGACUGACAGUAAUGUCAAUUGUCAGUCAUAUGAUAAACUUCAACAAGUGUAUGUAAAUAUUAUAAGUUAUGAAUGAGAGGCCUUUUCAUUUGUAGAGUGUCUGGAGAUCUAAUUACAUCUAUAUCAACUAUAUGUAAGUAAAUCAGUGUGAAUGUAUAAUGAGGGUAUUAAUGUAUUUAAUUUCAAAACUGAGACAGUAUGUUGAAUACUUUCUGAUAUUUAAACAAUGAAGUACAAUGUCAUUAUAUCAUAUACUAGACCAAUUUUGAGACUUAAUAAAUGAAAAAAAUAUGGUCAUCUUUGUCUAACUUACAUGCAGAUGGACUUAUCAGUAUAAGUAGAAUUGGUUUAUGAUUACAUUGUACCUAUCAUCUAUGGUGAAAAAGUACACAUCAUUUGUUAAUCCAAAACUUUAAACAAAUGAUUAAUUUGUUAAUCCAAAACUUUAAACAAAUGAUUAAUUUGUUAAUCCAAAACUUAAAAGAAAUGUUUAGUACCCAGAAUCACUUGAUAUUAGACACAAACUACAUUGAAACACUUUUUUUGGCCAUAGUUGGGAAGUACUUUAUUCUGAUUUUUUUUUGCAAAAUACAUGUGCAGGUAAUUAACGAGAAUAAAGGUAAAGAAAAGAUUAGGACACUAAUAUUGAAUCUGAUAUUCAGGAGAUGUUUUUGAAAUAUCACUGAGAUGGUGACAAAACUAUUGAAAGGUUAUUUUACUCCUCAAAUACAAGAAGGAAAAGAAAAAGACAUCUUUUCUUUGAGGAGCCAGACAAAUAAAUUAAAACAUCUCUAUUUUAAACACUGUUCUAUAAGUAUUGUAAAUAUGUGAUCUAAUUUUCAUAUAUUUUUUUUCAAUAAUUGACCUAUGAUCUAUUGUGAAAAAGUACACGUACAUUAAUUGUUUAUCCAAAACUUUAAAGAAAUGUUAAGUACCCAGAAAUAAUUGAUAUUUGACAUAUAAAUUUAAGACAUUUUUGAAAUCGUGGUGAUAGUGGUUUUACAUUGAAACUUAAAAAUGUCAAAGUCUGACUGUCAGAAGAAACUAGGUUAUUUUUAACUUUAUGACUGAAAAACCAGGUCAUGCAGUGAGUGUAAGUGUUUAAACAGAGGAGAAUCGUGAUCCAUUCCUUUUGAUGUGCUAGAAAACAAGUAAGUUGUUUCACUCAACAGCCUCAACAUUCCUCUAUUGUGGUUAACUAGGUAAUAAUGAGUUACCUGAUGUCAGUUGAGUACACAUGAGUAAAUAAUAAUGCAGAGUUCAUGACUAAGUUAAUUGGACAGUAACAAAAUUUCUAAUUAAAAAAUUUCCAUAGAGAAGCAGUGAUGGAAUAAUUAACAUACGUUUCUGCAUUAAACAUAUUUACACAUGUCCUGAUAGACAGGAAAUAAAUUUCAAAGUUAGUUUUUUUUAUACAACAUACAUGACCUGUGCUUGUGUGCUUUAGAAUCAUUGCAUGAAUUAAAGUGUCUUGUCUUUUUUCUGUCUGGAAGAAUUGGUAAUAUUUUAGAGAUAUCUAGGUACAUUUGUUCUUGUUUGCCCACAACACGAUGUUUGCUUGCACAAUAUCAUUAUAUAAUACAUGUAUAUUACUAUAAAUUGUUCCAUCAUAUUCUAUUGACUUCAAAUCCAAUGUAUUUUAUUUUUGUCACUUAGUACCACUUAUUAAGUAGCGGGAUUGUCCUGAUUUACAUGUUUAUUGUUAUAACUUAACGACAGCCACUUUAUUAAGUUCCCGGCAAGACACAGGAUCAUUGUAACUUUUGACAGGGUUAAAUAUAUUUGUUGGUGCUCAGCCUCAGUAUCCCUUUUCAGGGACAGUGUUUAAAUAAAAACUAAUAACUACAUUUGUAUACAGUAUUGGUUUUGCUCAUUGUUGAAGGCUGUACAGUGACCUAUAGUUGUUUAAAUCAACAUCAUUCCAACUCUGGUCAAUAGUUGUCUUAAAGGUAAUCAUAACACAUUCUGCUGAGUUUGUUUAAAUGAACUGUUAAAAUCAAUUAAAAUGAACUCAUUAUACCUUAUUUUUAUGUUAGAAAACAACAAAAGAUAUCAUUCUGUGUACCAGAUAAUAGCCAAAUGGCUAGAGUAAAUUCUACUUCAUUGAAAGAUUAUGACCACUAACAUGUAUUAAAUCAACAACUCCAUGUAGAAGUAUAUAUAUGUGGUCUUAUCUGUCCUUAAAUGACCACUGGUAUUUAAUCAAAUAUUUUCUUUUUUGUAGGUCAGUUGA